rnacentral:rRNA from 1 species
UACGUAGGGCGCAAGCGUUGUCCGGAAUUAUUGGGCGUAAAGAGCUUGUAGGUGGCUUGUCGCGUCUGCCGUGAAAACCCGAGGCUCAACCUCGGGCGUGCGGUGGGUACGGGCAGGCUAGAGUGUGGUAGGGGAGACUGGAACUCCUGGUGUAGCGGUGAAAUGCGCAGAUAUCAGGAAGAACACCGAUGGCGAAGGCAGGUCUCUGGGCCAUUACUGACACUGAGAAGCGAAAGCAUGGGUAGCGAACAGGAUUAGAUACCCGU